rnacentral:rRNA from 1 species
UACGUAGGGUGCAAGCGUUGUCCGGAAUUAUUGGGCGUAAAGAGCUCGUAGGCGGUCUGUCGCGUCGGCUGUGAAAAACUCGGGGGCUCAACCCCCGAGCCUGCAGUCGAUACGGGCAGACUAGAGUGCGGUAGGGGGAGACUGGAAUUCCUGGUGUAGCGGUGAAAUGCGCAGAUAUCAGGAGGAACACCGGUGGCGAAGGCGGGGUCUCUGGGCCGUAACUGACGCUGAGGAGCGAAAGCGUGGGGGAGCAAACAGG